rnacentral:lncRNA from 1 species
CAAAGUGGCCUACAACCAAUUCAGCAACGAGAUUCCUAUCAUUUCUUUAAAGGGUCUUGAUGACACUGACGGUGCAAGACCUGAAAUUUGUAAAAAGAUUGUGGAAGCCUGCGAAGACUGGGGGAUUUUCCAGGUUAUUGAUCAUGGGGUUGAUGACAAACUCAUUUCUGACAUGACCCGCCUCGCUAGAGAAUUCUUCGCUUUGCCACCUGAAGAGAAGCUCCGAUUCGAUAUGUCAGGCGGCAAGAAAGGGGGAUUUAUCGUCUCAAGCCAUCUACAGGUAUAUAUCAUGCAUUUUUGGAUCAUACUCUUCUUCCAUUUUUAUCUCUUCUGGUUUGUUAAUGACUACUCUGGACAAAUUUUCAUGAAUUCAAGUCUCGAAAUUCUAUAAUAUCAGUAAUUGGCUCGUGUCAAUUAAGCACGCAACCACAAAUUGUAAUGGUGAGGAGAGAUGGACGAUUCUUGAUUUCAAGUCUGAAUCCAAUUGAACUAAAUUGGCCAAAUGGAUGCAUGAUCUUGAAACAAUUAUGCAGGGUGAAACUGUGCAAGACUGGCGUGAGAUUGUGACAUAUUUUUCCUAUCCAAUUCGGGCAAGGGAUUCCUCAAGGUGGCCAGACAAGCCAGAGGCAUGGAGGGCUGUGACAGAGAAAUAUAGCGAGAAGUUGAUGGAGCUGGCCUGUAAACUGUUGGAGGUAUUAUCAGAGGCAAUGGGAUUGGAAAAGGAAGCCUUAACUAAUGCAUGUGUGGACAUGGACCAAAAAGUUGUGGUGAACUUUUACCCAAAGUGUCCACAGCCUGACCUCACAUUGGGCCUCAAACGCCACACCGACCCUGGAACCAUCACUCUCUUGUUACAAGACCAAGUUGGUGGACUUCAGGCCACCAGGGACGGUGGCAAGACCUGGAUUACCGUCCAGCCUGUUGA